rnacentral:piRNA from 2 species
UUAUUGUUGUUAAUAUCGUCUUCAU